ACGCUGGCGGCGUGCCUAACACAUGCAAGUCGAGCGGAGCCAUCUAAACAAUCCCUUCGGGGUGCGUUUGGGGAAGCUUAGCGGCGGACGGGUGAGUAACGCGUGGGUAACCUGCCUCGUACAGGGGGAUAACAGUUAGAAAUGACUGCUAAUACCGCAUAACCCGCUAGGAUCGCAUGAUCCGGACGGAAAAGAUUUAUCGGUACGAGAUGGACCCGCGUCUGAUUAGCUAGUUGGUGAGGUAACGGCCCACCAAGGCGACGAUCAGUAGCCGGCCUGAGAGGGUGAACGGCCACAUUGGGACUGAGACACGGCCCAAACUCCUACGGGAGGCAGCAGUGGGGAAUAUUGCACAAUGGGGGAAACCCUGAUGCAGCGACGCCGCGUGAGUGAAGAAGUAUUUCGGUAUGUAAAGCUCUAUCAGCAGGGAAGAAAAUGACGGUACCUGACUAAGAAGCCCCGGCUAACUACGUG
rnacentral:rRNA from 1 species